rnacentral:rRNA from 1 species
CACGUAGGGGGCAAGCGUUGUCCGGAUUUAUUGGGCGUAAAGAGCUCGUAGGUGGUUCGGUAAGUCAGGUGUGAAACCUCCAGGCUCAACCUGGAGACGCCACUUGAUACUGCUGUGACUGGAGUCCGGUAGGGGAGCGUGGAAUUCCUGGUGUAGCGGUGAAAUGCGCAGAUAUCAGGAGGAACACCAGCGGCGAAGGCGGCGCCCUGGGCCGGUACUGACACUGAGGAGCGAAAGCGUGGGUAGCAAACAGG